UUUCCGUAGGUGAACCUGCGGAAGGAUCAUUAACGAGUAGAGUCCUUUGGGACUUUCUUAUCCAAAACACCUGUGAACCUACCGAAACGUUGCCUCGGCGGGCGCCCGGCCCCGCGCCGGGCGCUGAGCCCGCCGGCGGCCCCCUACUCUUGUCUCUGCAGCGUGGCAUCUCAGAGUCCCAGAAAACAAGUAAAAACUUUCAACAACGGAUCUCUUGGCUCUA
rnacentral:misc_RNA from 1 species